AGAGUUUGAUCCUGGCUCAGGAUGAACGCUAGCGGCAGGCUUAACACAUGCAAGUCGAGGGGUAUAGUUCUUCGGAACUAGAGACCGGCGCACGGGUGCGUAACGCGUAUGCAAUCUACCUUUUACAGAGGGAUAGCCCAGAGAAAUUUGGAUUAAUACCUCAUAGUAUAUAGCCCUGGCAUCAGGAUUAUAUUAAAGUCACAACGGUAAAAGAUGAGCAUGCGUCCCAUUAGCUAGUUGGUAAGGUAACGGCUUACCAAGGCUACGAUGGGUAGGGGUCCUGAGAGGGAGAUCCCCCACACUGGUACUGAGACACGGACCAGACUCCUACGGGAGGCAGCAGUGAGGAAUAUUGGACAAUGGGCGCAAGCCUGAUCCAGCCAUGCCGCGUGCAGGAUGACGGUCCUAUGGAUUGUAAACUGCUUUUAUACGAGAAGAAACACUCCUUCGUGAAGGAGCUUGACGGUAUCGUAAGAAUAAGGAUCGGCUAACUCCGUGCCAGCAGCCGCGGUAAUACGGAGGAUCCAAGCGUUAUCCGGAAUCAUUGGGUUUAAAGGGUCCGUAGGCGGUUUAAUAAGUCAGUGGUGAAAGCCCAUCGCUCAACGGUGGAACGGCCAUUGAUACUGUUAGACUUGAAUUAUUAGGAAGUAACUAGAAUAUGUAGUGUAGCGGUGAAAUGCUUAGAGAUUACAUGGAAUACCAAUUGCGAAGGCAGGUUACUACUAAUUGAUUGACGCUGAUGGACGAAAGCGUGGGUAGCGAACAGGAUUAGAUACCCUGGUAGUCCACGCCGUANACGAUGGAUACUAGCUGUUGGGAGCAAUCUCAGUGGCUAAGCGAGAGUGAUAAGUAUCCCACCUGGGGAGUACGUUCGCAAGAAUGAAACUCAAAGGGAUUUGACGGGGGCCGCACAAGCGGUGGAGCAUGUGGNUUAAUUCGAUGAUACGCAGGAACCUUACCAAGGCUUAAAUGUAGAUUGACCGGUUUGGAAACAGAUCUUUCGCAGACAUUUACAAGUGCUGCAUGGNNGUCGUCAGCUCGG
rnacentral:rRNA from 1 species